UAAGUCAGUAGUGAAAGCGUGCGGCUCAACCGCAUAAACAUUACUGAAACUGCUAAGCUAGAGGAUGAGAGAGGUUAUUGGAAUUCCUAGUGUAGGAGUGAAAUCCGUAGAUAUUAGGAGGAACACCGAUGGCGUAGGCAGAUAACUGGCUCAUUCCUGACACUAAGGCACGAAAGCGUGGGUAGCAAACGGGAUUAGAUACCCCGGUAGUCCACGCUGUAAACGAUGGAUGCUA
rnacentral:rRNA from 1 species